rnacentral:rRNA from 1 species
UCUGGAAUGACUUCUCACCCAAAGGGCUUGGAUACAUGCUUUCAAGUCGCCUGGGGAUGGGGCCGCGUCCGAUCAGGUUGUUGGUGAGGUAAUGGCUCACCAAGCCUAUAACCGGUACGGGCCGUGAGAGCGGUAGCCCGGAGAUGGGUACUGAGACAAGGACCCAGGCCCUACGGGGCGCAGCAGUCGCGAAAACUCCGCAAUGCACGAAAGUGUGACGGGGCUACCCCGAGUGCCACCCGCUGAGGGUGGCUUUUCUUUGGUAUAAUUAGCCAUUGGAAUAAGGAGAGGGCAAGACUGGUGUCAGCCGCCGCGGUAAUACCAGCUCUCCGAGUGGUAGGGAUGAUUAUUGGGCUUAAAGCGUCCGUAGCCGGCUUAGCAAGUUUCCUGUUAAACUCAGCGACUCAAUCGUUGAAUCGCGGGAAAUACUACUAGGCUAGGAGGCGGGAGAGGUCGACGGUACUUCUGGGGUAGGGGUGAAAUCCUAUAAUCCCGGGAGGACCACCAGUGGCGAAGGCUGUCGACUAGAACGCGCUCGACGGUGAGGGACGAAAGCUGGGGGAGCGAACCGGAUUAGAUACCC